UACGGGGGGUGCGAGCGUUGUCCGGAAUCACUGGGCGUAAAGGGCGCGUAGGUGGUCUGAUAAGGGUGUGGUGAAAGUCCGGGGCUCAACCCCGGAUCUGCCGUGCCGACUGUCAGACUCGGGGACUGUAGAGGCAGGCGGAAUUCCGGGUGUAGCGGUGGAAUGCGUAGAGAUCCGGAGGAAGACCGGUGGCGAAGGCGGCCUGCUGGGCAGUUUCUGACACUGAGGCGCGACAGCGUGGGGAGCAAACAGG
rnacentral:rRNA from 1 species